rnacentral:sRNA from 1 species
UCACAGUUUGAAGAUGGAUUUCAAAAGA